UUUAACUGAGCGUUCAGUUACUUGACGUAGACCCGAAACCGGGCGACCUACCCAUGAGCAGGAUGAAGCGAAAGUAAAAUUUCGUGGAGGUCCGAACCCACGAGCGUUGAAAAGCUCGGGGAUGACUUGUGGGUAGCGGUGAAAUUCCAAUCGAGCCCGGAGAUAGCUGGUUCUCCCCGAAAUAGCUUUAGGGCUAGCCUCAAGGUGAGAGAUACGGAGGUAGAGCACUGAAUGUCCUAGGGGGUAUUGCACCUACCGAAGACUAUCAAACUCCGAAUGCCGUCAUCUUAUACUUGGGAGUCAGACUGUGGGUGAUAAGAUUCAUAGUCGAAAGGGCAACAGCCCAGAUCGUCAGCUAAGGUCCCUAAAUGUAAGUUAAGUGGUAAAGGAUGUGGGAUUGCACAGACAACCAGGAUGUUGGCUUAGAAGCAGCCACUCAUUCAAAGAGUGCGUAAUAGCUCACUGGUCGAGUGAUCCUGCGCCGAAGAUUUCCGGGGCUAAAACUUACUACCGAAGCUACGGCAUCAGUAAUGAUGGGUAGGGGAGCUUCCCAUACGGGUUGAAGCAUGACCGUAAGGACAUGUGGACAGUAUGGGAGUGAGAAUGUUGGCAUGAGUAGCGAGAUGUGGGUGAGAAUCCCACAGGCCGUAAACCCAAGGUUUCCAGGGGAAGGUUCGUCCGCCCUGGGUUAGUCGGGACCUAAGCUGAGGCCGAAAGGCGUAGGUGAUGGACAACAGGUUGAUAUUCCUGUACUACCGAUAA
rnacentral:rRNA from 1 species